AGCGAACGCUGGCGGCAGGCUUAACACAUGCAAGUCGAACGCCCCGCAAGGGGAGUGGCAGACGGGUGAGUAACACGUGGGAACGUACCCUUUGGUUCGGAAUAACUUGGGGAAACUCAAGCUAAUACCGGAUAGCCCUUAUGGGGAAAGGUUUACUGCCGAAGGAUCGGCCCGCGUCUGAUUAGCUAGUUGGUGAGGUAAUGGCUCACCAAGGCGACGAUCAGUAGCUGGUCUGAGAGGAUGAUCAGCCACACUGGGACUGAGACACGGCCCAGACUACUACGGGAGGCAGCAGUGGGGAAUAUUGGACAAUGGUGGCAACCCUGAUCCAGCCAUGCCGCGUGAGUGAUGAAGGCCUUAGGGUUGUAAAGCUCUUUUACCCGGGACGAUAAUGACUGUACCGGGAGAAUAAGCCCCGGCUAACUUCGUGCCAGCAGCCGCAGUAAAAC
rnacentral:rRNA from 1 species